CAAGGGUAAACAUGUAAUUAUAUAUUUUCAAUAAUUCUAAUUUGGCCCAAAUUAAAUAGUUAGGGGCUUAAUUGAAAAGCUAAAGAAAAAUUUAAGGAUUAAUUGGAAAUUUUAUAUGACGAAAUUGUUAGCAAUUAAAGAAGUUUAGGGACUAAAUGGUAAUGAAGAAAAGUUCAGGGGCUGAAAGUUAAUAUGGAGAGGAAAAGAAAAAAAAAAAGAAGAAAAGAAAGAAAAGAAGAAGAGAAAGGGAUGAUUGAUGAAGAAGGAAGGGAAGCUUUUGCUGCCGGAAAUGGUAGGUAGGGGCGGAGGGCGUGUCGGAGGUUGUAGAGUUGACCGAAGGAGCAAUGGAGGCGAGCGAACGCAAAGGUGGCAGCGGCAGUAGCUCCAGUAAGCUGUUGGCAUCGCUUGUUGGCGUCGAGCUUCGGCCGAGAGGUGCAGUGUCGCCAGCGCAGCGCUGUCUCCGUUCUCUCUACUUGAAGUUGCCGUCAACAUCGAGAAAGAAGGAUGGAGAUGGAGAUGCCUUGGAUGGCUGAUUGGAGGAGCUCGGCUGAAGUGCGUUGCAACUGGCUGUCGAAGUAGCCGAGUUAGCAAGCAUGGCAGUAACUCCGAUAACCAUUUCGAUGGUUCUAGUUUCAAAUGGCCAGUGACUGAUAGAUUUCUUCGAGGAUAGCAACAGAUGUGAAGGUUGUUGAGGAAGGAGAUCCAACAAGAAGAAGCUUGUAAGAGCAGUUCGGUUUUUUGAAAUUUUCCAGCUAGUGUCGUUGAGCUUCAAACGAUCUGAGGAUGCAUUCAGACUCUCCUCGUCACAAGCUUUCCAAUGGCACUAGUUUCGCGGCGAUCGGACUCCGUUUGAAAAUCAACGGCCGAGAUCAUCCGUAAAUCUCUUCGAAUGAUCAGGGAUCGGAUCGGAAGAUCGAAAGCGGCGAUCGUCAUCAGCACGUCGUUUCGAGUCCGUUGGUGCAUUCGGAUCGUCGAUCAGACUCCGGCGACUGGAGGCGAGUCGAUCGAGUGAUCAAGCGUCUCGAUAAUCCUUCAGUUCGGCUCGUUCUACCCGAGGCAUCAAAGCAUAGUUAAGAGGUCAUCAAAGCUGUGAUUGUUAGUCUUUCUGCAGUUCUUAUUUAGCAGCCCGACUUCUUCAUCAUCGGGUUGAUGUAUUUGAUUUUG